GACAGAGGGUGCGAACGUUGUUCGGAAUUACUGGGCGUAAAGCGCGUGUAGGCGGCAGCGUAAGUCGGGCGUGAAAUCCCACGGCUCAACCGUGGAAGUGCACUCGAAACUGCGCAGCUAGAGUCCUGGAGAGGAAGGUGGAAUGCUUGGUGUAGAGGUGAAAUUCGUAGAUAUCAAGCGGAACACCCGUGGCGAAGGCGGUUCUCUGGGACGGUACUGACGCUGAGACGCGAAAGCGUGGGGAGCGAACAGG
rnacentral:rRNA from 1 species